rnacentral:rRNA from 1 species
UACGUAGGUGGCAAGCGUUGUCCGGAUUUAUUGGGUUUAAAGGGUGCGUAGGCGGCUUUGUAAGUCAGUGGUGAAAUAUGGCAGCUUAACUGUCAAGGUGCCAUUGAUACUGCAGAGCUUGAGUACAGAUGAGGUAGGCGGAGUUGACGGUGUAGCGGUGAAAUGCUUAGAUAUCGUCAAGAACACCUAUAGCGAAGGCAGCUUACUAAGCUGUAACUGACGCUGAGGCACGAAAGUGUGGGGAUCAAACAGG